GGAAAGGCCUUGCGCGGCUGCUCUACGAAGUGUUGAAGAAAGACUCAUCAAAGUUAGUUGGUGGACGAACAACUCGCUGGCGCCGGAAAACUUGGCCCCCAACGAUGGUGUUUGGUGAAUCAUCAAGCAUAAUGUCUUGUAGCAGUGUUCACCGAGGAAGGAGAACGCUCUAGCCGCUGCUGUUGUCCGUUUCAUCCACGUUGGGCGUUAGCUGCACCGCGCCUAUUGUGUUUUAGUAUUCCAUGGACACACAUUAGCAUUCAGAGCGAUUGUGGAGCCACAAUUUACUUCACACAGCGUUGUAUUGUCCACGAGCGCAAACUUAAUUAUCAGCAGUAACUGUUACUCUUCAUCCUACAUGUAGACUUGGAGUAUACACGGCCUUGUCACGACAGCGACAGCUCUACAGAUCAUGCAGAGUGUUCAAGUGAGAAACAUUAAUUUCUAUUGUUGGUGGACGAAUAAAUGGCUGGUUCCGAAAAAACGCGGCCUGCACCGAUGGUGUUUGGUGGAUCAUCAAACAGGGUGACCAGCAGUGUUCACCGAGGAAGGAGAAUGCACUCGCCACCACUCCGAUUCAUCCAAGUGGGCGUUAGCUGCGCCGCGCCUAUUGUGUUUUAGUAUUUCAUGGACGCACACUAGCGUUCUCAGCGAUUGUGGAGCCACAACAUAUCUUCAUGCGGCGUUGCACUGUCCAAGAGCAGAAACGUCAGCAGUGACCCAUCAUCAUACAUGUAGAUUUGGAGUAUACACACCAUGCGCCAAUGGGCCUCGGCACAACAGCGGCAGCUCUACGGAGUGUUCAAGUGAGAAACAUUUGUUUCGACUUUUGGUGGACGAACAAAUCGUCGGUGCCGAAAAACGUGGCCUGCGCCGAUGGUGCUUGAAACAUCAAGCAUGGUAUGUGGUGACUGUCAGUGUUGAUCGAGGAAGGAGAACACUCAGGCCGUCGACCGUUCAUCCAUUUCGUUAGCUGCACCAAGCCUAUUGUGUCCUUGUAUUCCAUGGGCACACAAUCAUGAAGCAUGGCGUCUGAGCUGUGUUCACAGAGCGGGGAGAUGCUCUUGCUGCUAUCUUAUCUGUCCUGUGUAUUCCCAAGUGCCGAAGGCUCACAACGAUGGUGUUGGACAAGUCAGAUAAAAUAGAGUCAACAUCGUCACACGGUGCUGUGACCAAGAUACGGAUCAUGCCGAACGCUGAUUCAACUGGACGAAUCGCGAGGCUUUUCAGAUGCAGGGACACAAUGGAAACUGAAUGACUUCAGAACAGCACUGCUUGGCGCGUCUAUACAGCAUCAUUUGGCACAGCAAGAUGACAAAACAGCUAGCAGUGGCUAUUGGUGAGAAAAUUCUCUGCUGUGCCAUUGGAGUGUGCACGAUACACGAACCCUGCUCUUUUGUUGGCACCGCCUAUGUAACUUACUGCAUAGGGUGCAAGGUGACCGUUGUCGGUUUACAUGUACUCCAGUUAUUACACCGUGCAUGCACUGAGUCUGUGCUGCACUGUGCAUCCAUAGGUGUUCGUUUGCGGUAGCGCAAGGUUGAUGGAUUGUUUUGUCCGCUGCUAUUCGAAGCUCUCGGAGUCGGAAGCGUUACCUCUGUUUCCCCUGUUCCUCCCUGCGCGGAGUCUGUAGUUCUGGCUUGCAGUUGCUGUUACAUGCAUGUUGGCAGUUGCAUGUGUUUUGGUUUUCAGUUGUCUUUAUCAAGUUGUUUUGUGUGGACGACAGUUCAAUAUUCUAGCAGUUGUUGCACUUCCUACUUCUGAAGUACAUUCCGUAGUUAUCUGCGGUUGGUGUUUGAGAGAGCAAACUGUGUUCUUCUCCAGAGUGGAGUAAACCA